AUGGCCCAACCAGUAUUACCUGUAAGACCAGCCCAAUUCUGGCUUGGGCACAGAACCUCUAACCGGUGUGAUAACUCAGGCUGGAUCAAGAUAUUUGCACAAGGGACUAAGCUCAUAGUAACUCCCCCAGACAAAAGCCUUGAUGCAGACAUAUUCCCCAAGCCCAAAAUUUUUUUCCCUUCACUUGCUGAAAUAAAAUUCCACAUGUCCGGUACAUACAUUUGUCUUCUUGAGAAUUUUUUCCCCAAAGUUAUCAAGAUACAUUGGAAAGAAAAGGAUGGCAAAACAAUUCUGAAAUCCCAGCAGGGAGACACCAUGAAGACUAAGGACACAUACAUGAAAUUCAGCUGGCUGACCGUGGCUAGAGAGUCAUUGGCUAAAGAACAAAAAUGUAUCAUCACACAGGAGAGUAAUAAAGGAGGGAUUGAUGAAGAGAUUGUUUUUCGUUCAAUGAAAAAAGAGCUCACUGCUAUUGAUUCUACAAAAAAUGAAGAUGCCACCCUGCAGCUACAGCUCAAGACCACCUCUGCCCGCUACACCUACCUCCUCCUCUACUUCAAGAGCCUGAUCUACUCCACCAUCAUCACCAUCCAUCUGUUUGGGAGACCAGCACUCGGUGGCAAUGGGAAGAGUUCCUAGCACAUGGUGGCACCAAGGAUCCACUUUUCUCCAUUGGCUAUUGUCGUUAAAAAUCUUUCUUUCUUGGUUUGCAUUAUUUCAGUUCAUACAUGCAUUUUUUAAUUGUGUCAUUUCUGCAGA